UCCGGUUUGUCACCGGCGAGGGUUGCGCUCGUUGCGGGACUUAACCCAACACCUCACGGCACGAGCUGACGACAGCCGUGCAGCACCUGUGCACGCUCCCUUGCGGGUCCUCGGUGUCUCCACCUCGUACCACGUGCAUGUCAAGCCUGGGUAAGGUUCUUCGCGUUGCGUCGAAUUAAACCACAUGCUCCGCUGCUUGUGCGGGCCCCCGUCAAUUCCUUUGAGUUUUAGCCUUGCGGCCGUACUCCCCAGGCGGGGCGCUUAAUGCGUUAGCUGCGGCACAGAGAACCGGAGAGGUCCCCCACACCUAGCGCCCAACGUUUACAGCGUGGACUAC
rnacentral:misc_RNA from 1 species